rnacentral:rRNA from 1 species
GACGAACGCUGGCGGCGUGCUUAACACAUGCAAGUCGAGCGGAAAGGCCCUUCCGGGGGUACUCGAGCGGCGAACGGGUGAGUAACACGUGAGUAAUCUGCCCUUCACUCUGGGAUAGCCACCGGAAACGGUGAUUAAUACCGGAUACGACACGUCCAGGCAUCUGGUGCGUGUGGAAACUUUUUGGGUGGGGGAUUGGCUCGCGGCCUAUCAGCUUGUUGGGGGGGUAAUGGCCUACCAUGGCUUCGACAGGUAGCCGGCCUGAGAGAGUGGCCGGCCACGCUGGGACGGGGACACGGACCAGACGCCUACGGGAGGCAGCAGUAGGGAAUAUUGGACAAUGGGCAGAAGCCUAAUCCAGCGACGCCGCGUGAGUGAUGACGGCCUUCGGGUUGUAAACCUCUUUCAACACCGACGAAGCGAUCCUUUGUGGGGAGUGACGGUAGGUGCAGAAGAAGGACCGGCCAACUACGUGCCAGCCGCCGCGGUAAGAC